UACGUAGGUGGCAAGCGUUAUCCGGAAUUAUUGGGCGUAAAGAGCGCGCAGGUGGUUGAUUAAGUCUGAUGUGAAAGCCCACGGCUUAACCGUGGAGGGUCAUUGGAAACUGGUCAACUUGAGUGCAGAAGAGGGAAGUGGAAUUCCAUGUGUAGCGGUGAAAUGCGUAGAGAUGUGGAGGAACACCAGUGGCGAAGGCGACUCUCUGGACUGUAACUGACGCUGAGGCGUGAAAGCAUGGGUAGCGAACAGGAUUAGA
rnacentral:rRNA from 1 species